AGCUUGUCCCUGAUGUUAGCAGCGAACGGGUGAUUAACACGUGUGUAACCUGCCUGUUGACUGGUUUACUCCGGGAAACCGGUGCUUAUACCGGAUACUGUUUGAACCGAUGUUUCAACAUUUAAGGUGGCUUCGGCUACCACUUACAGAUGGACCCGCGGCGCAUUAGCUAGUUGGUGAGGGAACGACUCACCCAGGUGACGAUGCGUAUCGACCCUGAGAGGGUGGCCGGCCACACUGGAACUGAGCCAUGAUCAAGAUUCAGACUAGAGGUCGCGUCGUCCUUCUUCUGUAGGACCAAGGCCUAAGAGCCACCCCCUGUAAGUGUGAGUAAUUCGAUCGUAACUUUUUUGUUACUAAAACCAGUUCCGUUGAAUAGGCGGUCCUAGAAGUACCUAACAGAA
rnacentral:rRNA from 2 species